UACGUAGGGUGCGAGCGUUAAUCGGAAUUACUGGGCGUAAAGCGUGCGCAGGCGGUGAUGUAAGACAGGUGUGAAAUCCCCGGGCUUAACCUGGGAACUGCAUUUGUGACUGCAUUGCUGGAGUGCGGCAGAGGGGGAUGGAAUUCCGCGUGUAGCAGUGAAAUGCGUAGAUAUGCGGAGGAGCACCGAUGGCGAAGGCAAUCCCCUGGGCCUGCACUGACGCUCAUGCACGAAAGCGUGGGGAGCAAACAGG
rnacentral:rRNA from 1 species